GAUGAACGCUGGCGGCGUGCCUAAUACAUGCAAGUCGAGCGAACGGACGAGAAGCUUGCUUUUCUGAUGUUAGCGGCGGACGGGUGAGUAACACGUGGAUAACCUACCUAUAAGACUGGGAUAACUUCGGGAAACCGGAGCUAAUACCGGAUAAUAUUUUGAACCGCAUGGUUCAAAAGUGAAAGACGGUCUUGCUGUCACUUAUAGAUGGAUCCGCGCUGCAUUAGCUAGUUGGUAAGGUAACGGCUUACCAAGGCAACAAUGCAUAGCCGACCUGAGAGGGUGAUCGGCCACACUGGAACUGAGACACGGUCCAGACUCCUACGGGAGGCAGCAGUAGGGAAUCUUCCGCAAUGGGCGAAAGCCUGACGGAGCAACGCCGCGUGAGUGAUGAGGGUAUUCGGAUCGUAAAACUCUGUUAUUAGGGAAGAACAUAUGUGUAAGUAACUGUGCACAUCUUGACGGUACCUAAUCAGAAAGCCACGGCUAACUACGUG
rnacentral:rRNA from 1 species